AGUCACUUAACCCCAAUUGCCUCAGCAAAAAAAAAAAUUCACUGAUAUUUUCAUUUUUGCAACCUCCUAAUUGUAUCCCCUUCUCCAUUCUUCUCCUUUCAUUUCUCAUGGUGCUAUAAUACUGCAUUGCACUCAUGUAACCAUUUAUUCAGCCCCUCCUUUGAUUCCAGUUCUUUGUUACAACAAAAAUUACUUCUGUAAAUACAUUUGUACAUAUGGAAUCUUUCCCUCUGCCUCUCAUAUUUUAGGAAAUGUGUCUAGUAGUAAUGCCACUGGCCCAGUGCUCUUGUGGAAAGAGAUUGUACAAUUGAAUAAAUGGGUCACAAAUGGUGAUUUUGUUGUUUUUAAGGAUUGAGAAUUUAUAAUCUUAUUUACAGGCAAAUGAGAAGAGAUCUCAGGUAAAGGAGAAGCUAAAGAUAUUUGAGAGACAGAGGAAAUUUCCAGAGCAGAAAUCUGGAGAAGGGGAAAGAAAAUGUGAUCAUGGUGUCAAAUGGGUAGAGGAAUUAGUCUUAUCCUGAGCUUCCUUGAGGUAUAUGAUAGCAACAGAAUCUCUUGAUCAAGGAGAAUGGACACAUUUCUCACUUUAUUAACAGAACUCCAGAUUGUUUUCCAAAAUGUUUGAAGAAAAGGUAAUUUCCCCCUAUUUUUUAUGGUUGUUUCUACAGAAAAGGAAAGACACUGAAAUUGAGGAAGAGGCCAUUUUUAUAGGACUCUCCUGAAACAUUUAGCUCUCUCCUCUGGCCAGUCUCUUACCCAGGUUGUCCUUGACCUUUGACUUUGAUAUACUUAUCCUAGCCAUGAAGGACCCCAAAUACCACUAUGAGCUUCCUCCAAGGCUGCUUGACAGCAGCUUCAUGGCCAACUUGCCAACGUCUAUAUGAUGGACCCACGUUGUUCUAGCAACCAGUGAUGGCGAGAAGGCACCUGCACUACCUCUGUCUUCUUCCUCUGGCUCCAGCCCCUUCAGUUCCCUCUCUAGUGCCAUGAACUAGAUCAUACAAGCAGCCUUGAAGAUGAUGGAGCCUCCAUUACCCACCCAUCACCCAGAAAUUCAAGAUCCUGUUGGUAGUGGAUGAUGGACAUACAGACUGCAGUCUUCUGGCCAUAUUUGAGACUCGAUUGGAUGAAGACAUGUGGAAAAUGUCUUUUUUCACACAUUCAACUUUGCUUCUGUGCCAAUUCAAUUCAACUCUCAUUCAGUAAAAGACAACUGUGGGCAAAGUACUGUCCCAGGUGCUGAGGACACAAAGUCGAAAAUGAGACCUGCCCUCAAGAAGAUCACGUCCUACCGGAGGGAUGAAUAUUCCCAUUCACAACCAUCCAGGCAAGAGGGAGGCAGCAGACUUCAUCACCAGGAUCCUGCUUUGUUACUACAUUUCCUGGAGUUCUAAAGUUUCAUUGUUAUCAAGCAAGUUUAAGGGGAAAACGUUGACUCUGAGAACGAGAGGGAAUCAGUCCACACAAUGGCACAAGAUAAUAAAUAAAGAAGAUAUGUGGACAAGAACACUGAAGGAUUUUACCUUCUAUUGAAAUGGAAACAAACCCACAGGACCAAUUAUUUCUACAGAAAGAAAGUGAAUGGAGAGAUUGAGAUUCAAGCAGAACAGGUCAGUAAAAGCCAACCUUUGUACAAAGGGUGCCAUGGUCAAGUGUGCCAUUAUCCAUUACCAUAAUGCCCUUUGUCCCUAAAAGAUACAGGACAAGAGAAAAGGGAAAGGGAGUUAGUUAUAGGAACCCUCCCUGGAUAACCAGUUUGUGUUGUACUUAUGAACUAAAAAUUCUCUGGGCAGGCUGUGAGUUCAUAGUCAUAGCAGCUUGGGGACUGUUUCACCUUUCCUCAGCUAACCCCCUGACCAGUCCCCCCCCUUCUCUGCCCAGUCUGUUAAUCUCUUCUAAUGCAUACCAGAUGGUUGUUAGUUACAUUAAAUAGCAAUUUCCCCUUCCAAGGGCUCUCCCGCCCCCAUCUCUAUAUUUCAUGUUAUAAACUCAUGUCUUUGCAAUGACCCUGAGAGAUACAGCAGGAACAAGGAAACCUAUUUUAUAUGUGGGGAAAUGGAGGCACAGAAAUAUCAAGGAAAGAGUGAAAAGACCAUCUCACUAAUGUGUUAGUAUCCCCAAUGUUUAGUAACUUAUCUACCACAUAGUAGGGAUAGUUCUGGCACACAAUAGCUGUAAGAAUUGAGGCUGAAACUGUCAUAUCAUUCAUGUAAGGAACUCUCUAAUAAAGAAAUGCCUUCUACC